GUGAUUCUUACACAGCAGACAAAGCCUGCAGCAUUACAUUUGCAAAGGCUGCAGAGUUUGAUUUGCACAGAACAAUAACAGAGCUUUGGCAGAUGGUUUUACCCUCAGCUUUUAAUUGAGGAAUGAUGGAGUCGCUCACUCUUCAAAAUUUCUGUGGUUUGGGGUUGGUUUUUGUUGCUGUAAUGGAAAAUUUUGCACUUCUUCAGUGCUAACUUGCAGUGCUGCACAGUCUGCAUGUAAGGAUAACGAAAGCUGAGAUGUCCUUGAAAGGUUACAGGCUCCGCAUGGCCUCUAGAUGUCCCUCCUCUUCUUCUAACACCAGCACCAGGCAAUGCAAGAAAUCCAGCUGCGCUGCAUCCCCCUUCUUCAAGGAAUAGACCUCUGCGUGUCAGAGCGGAGCAGGUACUAGGAAUUUUUGGCUGGAAAAGGAGAGAGGAAGUAAUCCUCCAGCAUCAUCCCAGCUGAGGUGAGAGCAGUUCCUCGGCAGACAGCAGGACAGUGGUUCCUUCUGCUGUCACUUUGUUCUCCCAUCCAGAGGGAGAGGGACAGAGUGUGCUGGGAUAGCAUGGAGAAAUGGGGAGAGCCAACAGCUGGAAUAGCACGGAGAAAUACUCAGACAACGGCAGGCAGGUUACCUGUGUUCAGAGAGCUGCAGGGCUGGGUGAGAGUCUUCUUCCUGGCCAAACUUGGAGGGGUUUAACAUACUAUGCAAUUAAAUGCUGAGAAGACUG
rnacentral:lncRNA from 7 species